AUGACCUUGUCGGUGCAUCCGACGAGCCGGCCGCCGAUGAACACCGCCGGCACAGCAGGGUUCCGGCCGAGGAGCCGCACCAGCGCCUUCUCCAUCUCCUUCCCCCUAGGGUCCUCGUCCAGUUCGACCACCAUCGGGUUCACCCCGAGAUCGCGGAGGAGGCUCGUCACCGUGUGGCACAUGCAGCAGGAGCUCAUGCCGAAGAUCACCACCGCCCGCUGCCCCGCUAGCUUCGUCACCUGCUCCAUCAAGCUUAGUGCUGUGCUAGUGCUACUGCUAGUAAGCUCAAUUAAUAAUACGAUCGCUUCUAACUAG
rnacentral:rRNA from 1 species